GUGGCCAGCCGCCGCGGUAAUACCGGCAGCCCAAGUGAUGGCCGCUGUUAUUGGGCCUAAAGCGUCCGUAGCUGGCCGCACGAGUCCGUCGGGAAAUCCGCCCGCUCAACGGGCGGCCGUCCGGCGGAACCUGUGUGGCUUGGGACCGGGAGGCCUGAGGGGUACGAUCGGGGUAGGAGUGAAAUCCUGUAAUCCCGCUCGGACCGCCGAUGGGGAAACCACCUCAGGUGAACGGAUCCGACAGUGAGGGACGAGAGCCAGGGUCUCGAACCGGAUUAGAAACCCUUGUAGUCC
rnacentral:rRNA from 1 species